UGAGGAAUAUUGCACAAUGGAGGAAACUCUGAUGCAGCAACGCCGCGUGGAGGAUGACGCAUUUCGGUGUGUAAACUCCUUUUAUGAGUCAAGAAAAUGACGGUAGCUCAUGAAUAAGCACCGGCUAACUCCGUGCCAGCAGCCGCGGUAAUACGGAGGGUGCAAGCGUUAAUCGGAAUUACUGGGCGUAAAGCGUGCGUAGGUGGUUAGAUUAGUUGGGUGUGAAAGCCCCGGGCUCAACCUGGGAACUGCAUUCAAUACUGUCUAGCUAGAGUAUGGUAGAGGGAAGUGGAAUUCUGCAUGUAGCGGUGAAAUGCGUAGAGAUGCAGAGGAACACCAGUGGCGAAGGCGACUUCCUGGACCAAUACUGACGCUGAGGUACGAAAGCGUGGGGAGCAAACA
rnacentral:rRNA from 1 species